rnacentral:rRNA from 1 species
CCUACGGUAGGCAGCAGUGGGGAAUAUUGCACAAUGGGGGAAACUCUGAUGCAGCGACGCCGCGUGAGUGAAGAAGUAUUUCGGUAUGUAAAGCUCUAUCAGCAGGGAUGAAAAUGACGGUACCUGAUUAAGAAGCCCCGGCUCACUACGUGCCAGCAGACGCGGUAAUACGUAGGGGGCAAGCGGUAUCCGGAUUUACUGGGUGUAAAGGGAGCGUCGACGGCAGCAUAAGUCUGGAGUGAAAUGCCGGGGCUUAACCCCGGAACUGCUUUGGAAACUGUGCCGCUAGAGUGCAGGAGAGGUAAGUGGAAUUCCUAGUGUAGCGGUGAAAUGCGUAGAUAUUAGGAGGAACACCAGUGGCGAAGGCGGCUUACGGGACUGUAACUGACGUUGAGGCUCGAAAGCGUGGGGAGCAAACAGGAUUAGAUACCCGGGUAGUC